CAGAACCAUUGUUCAGGAGAACAUCCCCUCCUUUGUGUCAUCAUUGUGUCUGAUGUUUGGAAGCUACUACAACUUCAACAUCCAUUAUCCAUCCGGACUGGCAUCCACCCUGGAGUUCCUGCAGAGAUGCUUUUUCUCCAUAAAUCCCGAGAAGGGCACGAAAGUGGAAAAGACCAGCACCUCCCGUCUACACGUGAACCCCAGAGUCCUCACGUUGAUACAAGACCUUUCAGAUCAUGAGUGGCGGGACAUGUGAAUAAAGACUCAAAUGCUUUUCCACCAUCAACACAGAAGGCACCGAAGUGGAGAAGAGCGACAGUUCCUGUCUACAACCCCAGAAUCCUCACCCUGAUUGAAGAAGGUUUCUUCAUGCUUAGUUCAUUAAGCUUUAUUUGUAAAUGUUACAGAUAAAAAUACGUUAUAGACUGGUUAUAGUUGUUGCAAUUGAAUUUUUUCAUAUUCGAGGCAUUAUUUCAAAUGUUUGUUUGUUUUUCCUUUGAGGAAAAAUGGAAAGGAAUACUUAAUUCCUUAGUUUGAUGUUGAGACAAACAAAAUACACACAA